GGAAAGAAAGACGAAAAUUUAUAACAAAUGAAAUAGCUGUCGAUCUGAAGAUUGGGAAACUUGAUUUUUCACACCAGUUUGCUUCCUAUUUGAUGGAAUUUGGAAAAUUUCCAUUCCGUAAAAGGUCCAGUUUGGGAAAGAAAAACGAAAAUUUAUAACAAACUAGCUGACCCGGCAAACGUUGUUUUGCCAUAUAAAUAAUUUCCUAGUAAUUUCUAGUGUAGACAAAAAAUAGCUUACUUAUUACAGGUUAAGUUUUGGAAAGAAGCGUGUUACGACUUCUAAAUUUUAUAUGGAAGCUAAACCUGGCAACGCUGCGACCACGAGGGCCCAGAAGAGAGACAGCAAAACCCAGAGAAUUCAAGAUACACA